rnacentral:lncRNA from 1 species
AUUUCCGAAUCGGCCAAUUUUUUCUCAUAAUAGCCUUGCAUGUAGACACAACAAUGAAGCCCUUGAAACCUGACACUUAACCACAUGGUGGUGGGCGAGUGGUUCUCGUUUGGUUGGAAGGAUCGCCCUGUGGGUCUAGGCCAGGGAUCGAUCCUCCCCAGACGCAGUUUCGCUCUCUCACUCCUGUGGCCACCUGGGAAUUUACCUGCGGACUUGCUCAGGCGCCCCAGACCACCAGUCUAUCAGGAGGCCCUUAAGUGGAGGCUUAAAAAUCUCUGUGACGCGGGCUUAGGCCCAGUGGGCUAGUCAGAUCACUGUGUGGUCUGGAUACUGGGUUAUCAAAAAAAAAACCUGACACUUUACGGUAUUAUAUGUAUGUUGGCAUUUUGUGAAGGAUCUCCUGUGGUGGUAAACAUGCACGUAUAGUUUUCUAGUUGCUAUAGAAUAAUGUAAUCAAUUGGAUGGGAAAGCCAGCCUUGUUCAAAUGUAACCAUUUUUUUGGAAGGUACUUUCUUGUUACUGCUAGCCUUUUGUGUUUGAUUUCUUAUUUUGCAGCUUG